rnacentral:rRNA from 1 species
GAUGAACGCUGGCGGCGUGCCUAAUACAUGCAAGUCGAGCGAACAGACGAGGAGCUUGCUCCUCUGACGUUAGCGGCGGACGGGUGAGUAACACGUGGAUAACCUACCUAUCAGACUGGGAUAACUUCGGGAAACCGGAGCUAAUACCGGAUAAUAUAUUGAACCGCAUGGUUCAAUAGUGAAAGACGGUUUUGCUGUCACUUAUAGAUGGAUCCGCGCCGCAUUAGCUAGUUGGUAAGGUAACGGCUUACCAAGGCAACGAUGCGUAGCCGACGUGAGAGGGUGGUCGGCCACACGGGAACUGGGACACGGUCCAGACUCCUACGGGAGGCAGCAGUAGGGAAUCUUCCGCAAUGGGCGAAAGCCUGACGGAGCGACGCCGCGUGAGUGAUGAAGGUCUUCGGAUCGUAAAACUCUGUUAUUAGGGAAGAACAAAUGUGUAAGUAACUGUGCACGUCGUGACGGUACCUGGUCAGAAAGCCACGGCUAACUACGUG